UAACGAAUCUUCCGCAAUGCCCGCAAGGGUGACGGAGCGACGCCGCGUGUGGGACGAAGCCCUUCGGGGUGUAAACCACUGUCAGGGGAUAGAAAGUUCUGAUCGUCCCCAGAGGAAGGCACGGCUAACUCUGUGCCAGCAGCCGCGGUAAGACAGAGGUGCCAAGCGUUAGGCGGAAUCACUGGGCUUAAAGCGUGUGUAGGUGGAUGUCUAAGUACCUUGUGAAAUCCCACGGCUCAACCGUGGAACUGCUGGGUAUACUGGGCGUCUUGGGUCAUCUAGGGGUUGCCGGAACAAAUGGUGGAGCGGUGAAAUGCGUAGAUAUCAUUUGGAACGCCAAUGGCGAAAGCAGGCAACUGGGGAUGCACCGACACUGAGACACGAAAGCCAGGGGAGCGAACGGGAUUAGAUACCCCCGUAGUCC
rnacentral:rRNA from 1 species